rnacentral:rRNA from 1 species
AACGAACGCUGGCGGCAUGCCUAACACAUGCAAGUCGAACGAGACCUUCGGGUCUCUUGGCGCACGGGUGCGUAACGCGUGGGAACCUGCCCUUAGGUUCGGACUAACUCCCCGAAAGGGGUUCUCAUACCGGAUAAUGUCUUCGUACCACAGAUUGAUCGCCUUUGGAUGUGCCCGCGUUGGAUUAGCUAGUUGGUAGUGUAAAAGCCUACCAAGGCGACGAUCCAUAGCUGGUCUGAGAGGAUGAGCAGCCACACUGGGACUGCGACACGGCCCAGACUCCUACGGGAGGCAGGAGUGGGGAAUAUUGGAAAACGGGCGAAAGCCUGAUCGAGCAAGGCUGCGUGAGUGAUGAAGGCAGUAGGGUUGUAAAGCUCUUUUAACAGGGAUGAUAAUGACAGUACCGGGAGAAUAAGCUCCGGCUAACUACGUG